rnacentral:rRNA from 1 species
GACGAACGCUGGCGGCGUGCUUAACACAUGCAAGUCGAACGAGGGGUAGAGCGGGUGAGGAAUGCGUGGGUAACCUACCCUCCUCUCUGGGAUAGGCUAUGGCAACGGGGUGUAAUACCGAAUAGUGUGGCGUGGGCUGGCGGCCUAUCAGCUGGUUGUGGGGGUGAUGGCCUACCAGGGCGGUGCCGGGUCGCGGGCCUGGGAGGGUGACCGGCCACAUUGGGACUGAGAUACGGCCCAGACUCCUACGGGAGGCAGCAGUGGGGGAUAUUGCACAAUGGGCGAAAGCCUGAUGCAGCGACGCCGCGUGGGGGAUGAAGGCUUUCGGGUUGUAAACCUCUUUCGCUAUCGAACGGGUAGGUGGAGAAGAAGCGCCGGCUAACUACGUGCCAGCAGCCGCGGUAAUUC